rnacentral:rRNA from 1 species
UAUUCAGGGCAUCCUGCUGUGCUAGAAGGAUAUAGUGAUUCAAAUUGGAUCUCCGAUGUUGAUGUACUUUACGCAACAAGUGGGUAUGUAUUUACUCAUGGUGGUGGCGCAGUGUCAUGGAGGUCUUGCAAGCAAACCAUAUUGACAAGGUCAACUAUGGAAGCAGAAUUAACUGCUUUGGACACAGCUACUGUUGAGGCAGAAUGGCUGCGUGAGCUCUUGAUGGACUUGCCGGUUGUUGAAAAACUUGUACCGGCUAUUCUUAUGAAUUGUGAUAACCAAACGGUUAUCGCUAAAGUGAACAAUUCUAAAGAUAAUGCAAAGUCAUCAAGACACGUGAAAAGACGUUUGAAGUCUGUCAGGAAGUUGAGAAACUCCGGAGUAAUAACUGUUACGUAUAUACAAACAGACAAAAACCUGGCAGAUCCCUUUACAAAGGGACUAUCACGAAAUGUGAUAGAUAUUGCAUCG